rnacentral:rRNA from 1 species
AUACAGAGGGUGCGAGCGUUAAUGGGAAUUACUGGGCGUAAAGCGCGCGUAGGCGGCUACUUAAGUCAGAUGUGAAAUCCCCGGGCUCAACCUGGGAACUGCAUCUGAUACUGGGUAGCUAGAGUUUAGGAGAGGGAAGUAGAAUUUCAGGUGUAGCGGUGAAAUGCAUAGAGAUCUGAAGGAAUACCAGUGGCGAAGGCGGCUUCCUGGCCUAAAACUGACGCUGAGGUGCGAAAGCGUGGGUAGCAAACGGGAUUAGAAACCCUGGUAGUCC